CAUGAUGAUGCUUAAAUUAUCUUUCGGGUAUGAAAUGCAAUGAUUUCAACUUAAAAGCUGACCA
rnacentral:snoRNA from 1 species